UACGUAGGGGGCAAGCGUGGUUCGGAAUUACUGGGCGUAAAGGGCGCGUAGGCGGCACAUCAAGUCGGAAGUGAAAGCCCGGGGCUCAACCCCGGAAUGUCUUUCGAAACUGUUGAGCUAGAGUGCAGAAGAGGCAACUGGAAUUCCCAGUGUAGCGGUGAAAUGCGUAGAUAUUGGGAAGAACACCUGAGGCGAAGGCGGGUUGCUGGGCUGACACUGACGCUGAUGCGCGAAAGCCAGGGGAGCGAACGGG
rnacentral:rRNA from 1 species